ACACGAAAAAGGCACCUAAAAAAAAGAAGAGGAAGGAAACAAAAAUGAAAGAUACGAAAACAACAAAAAGAAAGAGAGCUUGAAAUCUCACAAUCACUCAUCUUCCUCAUAUUCCUUUUGAACAUAAACAAUGGCUAUAUUCUAUCCAAAUUCAGCUAGAUUGAAAUUAAUCUAUCAAAGCAACGUAAUGGAAAUCGAUUUCGUCGGUUGAGUUGAUGUCGAGUGAUUGAGGCUGAGAUCUGUUUUGAAGAGACGAGCAUCGGGUUGAGGUGUUUGAGUGGUGUUGGAGCCAGUUAUGAAAUUUCGAAGCGAGGUACAUAUAUGUCUAGCGGCCUUGUGGGCGCAGAGGUGUGGUUAAAAAUUGUGGGGAUAUAGAUGAGCUGCAUUUUGUAUUAUGAUCCAUAGCCAACAGAGUCUCCUUCAGAGUUAUUAUAUUUUUCUAUCUAAUUUCUAUUUUGGACAGAUGCUGUAUUUUAUUUUUAA